rnacentral:lncRNA from 1 species
CGCCUCGGAGAGCACAUGAAUGUGGCCAAAGUCAGCUAACACUGCCACAGCAAAAGACACUUUGCGCGGAGGAGCGUGUGUAUGCUCUCAAACAGCGAAAAAGUAUGCUAUACGAGAUAGAACAAAGAAUCACAGAAAUGCUUCUCUACCAUUUAUAAAUUGCACACAGUACCGUGGAUAUCACGAAAAGUGUCAGAAGAAUACUCAUCUAAAUGAAACACUUUUGUGUUCAUUUGUCUUAGCAUGGGUAACAUAUUUUCCUUUAA